rnacentral:rRNA from 1 species
UACGGAGGGGGCUAGCGUUGUCCGAAGUUACUGGGCGUAAAGCGCGCGUAGGCGGGUUGGUAAGUCCGCUGUGAAAGCCCGGAGCUCAACUCCGGAGGGUCGGUGGAUACUGCCAGUCUUGAAGGUGCUAGGGGGAGAUGGAAUUACCGGUGUAGCGGUGAAAUGCGUAGAUAUCAGGAGGAACACCGGUGGCGAAGGCGGAUCUCUGGGCCUUACCUGACGCUGAGGCGCGAAAGCUAGGGGAGCGAACAGG